rnacentral:rRNA from 1 species
AGCGAACGCUGGCGGUAGGCCUAACACAUGCAAGUCGAACGGCAGCACAGUAAGAGCUUGCUCUUACGGGUGGCGAGUGGCGGACGGGUGAGGAAUACAUCGGAAUCUACUUUUUCGUGGGGGAUAACGUAGGGAAACUUACGCUAAUACCGCAUACGACCUACGGGUGAAAGCAGGGGAUCUUCGGACCUUGCGCGAUUGAAUGAGCCGAUGUCGGAUUAGCUAGUUGGCGGGGUAAAGGCCCACCAAGGCGGCGAUCCGUAGCUGGUCUGAGAGGAUGAUCAGCCACACUGGAACUGAGACACGGUCCAGACUCCUACGGGAGGCAGCAGUGGGGAAUAUUGGACAAUGGGCGCAAGCCUGAUCCAGCCAUACCGCGUGGGUGAAGAAGGCCUUCGGGUUGUAAAGCCCUUUUGUUGGGAAAGAAAAGCAGCAGGUUAAUACCCCGCUGUUCUGACGGUACCCAAAGAAUAAGCACCGGCUAACUUCGUG